rnacentral:rRNA from 1 species
UUAAGUUAUUAAGGGCGCACGGUGGAUGCCUUGGCACUAGAAGCCGAUGAAGGACGUUACUAACGACGAUAUGCUUUGGGGAGCUGUAAGUAAGCUUUGAUCCAGAGAUUUCCGAAUGGGGAAACCCAGCAUGAGUUAUGUCAUGUUAUCGAUAUGUGAAUACAUAGCAUAUCAGAAGGCACACCCGGAGAACUGAAACAUCUUAGUACCCGGAGGAAGAGAAAGAAAAUUCGAUUCCCUUAGUAGCGGCGAGCGAAACGGGAAGAGCCCAAACCAACAAGCUUGCUUGUUGGGGUUGUAGGACACUCUAUACGGAGUUACAAAGGACGACAUUAGACGAAUCAUCUGGAAAGAUGAAUCAAAGAAGGUAAUAAUCCUGUAGUCGAAAAUGUUGUCUCUCUUGAGUGGAUCCUGAGUACGACGGAGCACGUGAAAUUCCGUCGGAAUCUGGGAGGACCAUCUCCUAAGGCUAAAUACUCUCUAGUGACCGAUAGUGAACCAGUACCGUGAGGGAAAGGUGAAAAGCACCCCGGAAGGGGAGUGAAAUAGAACCUGAAACCGUGUGCUUACAAGUAGUCAGAGCCCGUUAAUGGGUGAUGGCGUGCCUUUUGUAGAAUGAACCGGCGAGUUACGAUUUGAUGCAAGGUUAAGCAGUAAAUGUGGAGCCGUAGCGAAAGCGAGUCUGAAUAGGGCGUUUAGUAUUUGGUCGUAGACCCGAAACCAGGUGAUCUACCCUUGGUCAGGUUGAAGUUCAGGUAACACUGAAUGGAGGACCGAACCGACUUACGUUGAAAAGUGAGCGGAUGAACUGAGGGUAGCGGAGAAAUUCCAAUCGAACCUGGAGAUAGCUGGUUCUCUCCGAAAUAGCUUUAGGGCUAGCCUCAAGUGAUGAUUAUUGGAGGUAGAGCACUGUUUGGACGAGGGGCCCCUCUCGGGUUACCGAAUUCAGACAAACUCCGAAUGCCAAUUAAUUUAACUUGGGAGUCAGAACAUGGGUGAUAAGGUCCGUGUUCGAAAGGGAAACAGCCCAGACCACCAGCUAAGGUCCCAAAAUAUAUGUUAAGUGGAAAAGGAUGUGGCGUUGCCCAGACAACUAGGAUGUUGGCUUAGAAGCAGCCAUCAUUUAAAGAGUGCGUAAUAGCUCACUAGUCGAGUGACACUGCGCCGAAAAUGUACCGGGGCUAAACAUAUUACCGAAGCUGUGGAUUGUCCUUUGGACAAUGGUAGGAGAGCGUUCUAAGGGCGUUGAAGCAUGAUCGUAAGGACAUGUGGAGCGCUUAGAAGUGAGAAUGCCGGUGUGAGUAGCGAAAGACGGGUGAGAAUCCCGUCCACCGAUUGACUAAGGUUUCCAGAGGAAGGCUCGUCCGCUCUGGGUUAGUCGGGUCCUAAGCUGAGGCCGACAGGCGUAGGCGAUGGAUAACAGGUUGAUAUUCCUGUACCACCUAUAAUCGUUUUAAUCGAUGGGGGGACGCAGUAGGAUAGGCGAAGCGUGCGAUUGGAUUGCACGUCUAAGCAGUAAGGCUGAGUAUUAGGCAAAUCCGGUACUCGUUAAGGCUGAGCUGUGAUGGGGAGAAGACAUUGUGUCUUCGAGUCGUUGAUUUCACACUGCCGAGAAAAGCCUCUAGAUAGAAAAUAGGUGCCCGUACCGCAAACCGACACAGGUAGUCAAGAUGAGAAUUCUAAGGUGAGCGAGCGAACUCUCGUUAAGGAACUCGGCAAAAUGACCCCGUAACUUCGGGAGAAGGGGUGCUCUUUAGGGUUAACGCCCAGAAGAGCCGCAGUGAAUAGGCCCAAGCGACUGUUUAUCAAAAACACAGGUCUCUGCUAAACCGUAAGGUGAUGUAUAGGGGCUGACGCCUGCCCGGUGCUGGAAGGUUAAGAGGAGUGGUUAGCUUCUGCGAAGCUACGAAUCGAAGCCCCAGUAAACGGCGGCCGUAACUAUAACGGUCCUAAGGUAGCGAAAUUCCUUGUCGGGUAAGUUCCGACCCGCACGAAAGGCGUAACGAUUUGGGCACUGUCUCAACGAGAGACUCGGUGAAAUCAUAGUACCUGUGAAGAUGCAGGUUACCCGCGACAGGACGGAAAGACCCCGUGGAGCUUUACUGUAGCCUGAUAUUGAAAUUCGGCACAGCUUGUACAGGAUAGGUAGGAGCCUUUGAAACGUGAGCGCUAGCUUACGUGGAGGCGCUGGUGGGAUACUACCCUAGCUGUGUUGGCUUUCUAACCCGCACCACUUAUCGUGGUGGGAGACAGUGUCAGGCGGGCAGUUUGACUGGGGCGGUCGCCUCCUAAAAGGUAACGGAGGCGCUCAAAGGUUCCCUCAGAAUGGUUGGAAAUCAUUCAUAGAGUGUAAAGGCAUAAGGGAGCUUGACUGCGAGACCUACAAGUCGAGCAGGGUCGAAAGACGGACUUAGUGAUCCGGUGGUUCCGCAUGGAAGGGCCAUCGCUCAACGGAUAAAAGCUACCCCGGGGAUAACAGGCUUAUCUCCCCCAAGAGUUCACAUCGACGGGGAGGUUUGGCACCUCGAUGUCGGCUCAUCGCAUCCUGGGGCUGUAGUCGGUCCCAAGGGUUGGGCUGUUCGCCCAUUAAAGCGGUACGCGAGCUGGGUUCAGAACGUCGUGAGACAGUUCGGUCCCUAUCCGUCGUGGGUGUAGGAAAUUUGAGAGGAGCUGUCCUUAGUACGAGAGGACCGGGAUGGACAUACCUCUGGUGUACCAGUUGUCGUGCCAACGGCAUAGCUGGGUAGCUAUGUGUGGACGGGAUAAGUGCUGAAAGCAUCUAAGCAUGAAGCCCCCCUCAAGAUGAGAUUUCCCAACUUCGGUUAUAAGAUCCCUCAAAGAUGAUGAGGUUAAUAGGUUCGAGGUGGAAGCAUGGUGACAUGUGGAGCUGACGAAUACUAAUCGAUCGAAGACUUAAUCAA